rnacentral:lncRNA from 1 species
ACACAGGCAGUACUCAUCCUUAAUUAUUGGCGAUUGAGUACCUUUUCCCGAUCCCGGUGGACCUGCCACUCAAAAGAUUUCACAAUUAUUAGAAACAAGCCAUCAUUCUAUGAAAUGCUAAACAAUACGCAAAUGUCGAUAGUCGUAGAUUGCAGAAUGUUUUCGAGUUGCUGUUAUUAGUUGUCCAAUUUCCCUGUGAUACAAAGUCUACAAUGCUUGAAACUCGAGUACAAAAUAAAAUAUAAAAACCAAACCAUAAUAUCACCCUAUUCACUCAAGCAGCCCAAAUUCCAUCCCGAAUUUAGGUCAGCAAGUUAGUUUGUUUGAAACUAUGUUGCUUCGGCUCUUCAUUUUUCUUGAUGUAUCCAUGUCUAACAGGCAUAAAAGGAUAUGACUCUCCAUGAACACUCAAAAUACAUAGAGAAACUUUAAAAUUUUAAAAAAUAACUAUGUCAAAUAUGCCGGUAACUGAUAAUCACACCCGAGUCUGAGUAACAUAGGUUUAAAACACAUGCACGACUCUUAUUAGCAUUAAAUGAUUUUCUUAGUAAUUGAAGCCGGGAACUCUACCACUAAAGACAUACUUAUUUUUUAGUAGGUCAUAAACAUGGGGCAUUGAUAGUUUAGUCUUCCAAGAUCUAAUAAUUCUCCCG